UGUGGUUCUGAUGGAGGUUUUCCUUCCUGAUUCUGGUUCUGAUGGAGGUUUUCCUUCCUGGUUCUGGCUCUAAUGAAGGGUUUCCUUCCUAGUUCUGGUUGUGAUGGAGGUUUUCCUUCCUGGUUCUGGUUCUGAUGGAGUUCUGGUUCUGAUGGAGGUUUUCCUUCCUG